UCGCUAGUGGUCUAAUAGUUGGGACACAGCACUUUCACUGCUGCAGCCAAGGUUCAAUCCUUGGUUUGGGAA
rnacentral:tRNA from 1 species